AGAGUUUGAUCAUGGCUCAGAUUGAACGCUGGCGGCAGGCCUAACACAUGCAAGUCGAGCGGUAGCACAGAGAGCUUGCUCUCGGGUGACGAGCGGCGGACGGGUGAGUAAUGUCUGGGAAACUGCCUGAUGGAGGGGGAUAACUACUGGAAACGGUAGCUAAUACCGCAUAAUGUCGCAAGACCAAAGUGGGGGACCUUCGGGCCUCAUGCCAUCAGAUGUGCCCAGAUGGGAUUAGCUAGUAGGUGGGGUAACGGCUCACCUAGGCGACGAUCCCUAGCUGGUCUUAGAGGAUGACCAGCCACACUGGAACUGAGACACGGUCCAGACUCCUACGGGAGGCAGCAGUGGGGAAUAUUGCACAAUGGGCGCAAGCCUGAUGCAGCCAUGCCGCGUGUGUGAAGAAGGCCUUCGGGUUGUAAAGCACUUUCAGCGGGGAGGAAGGCGUUAAGGUUAAUAACCUUGGCGAUUGACGUUACCCGCAGAAGAAGCACCGGCUAACUCCGUGCCAGCAGCCGCGGUAAUACGGAGGGUGCAAGCGUUAAUCGGAAUUACUGGGCGUAAAGCGCACGCAGGCGGUCUGUCAAGUCGGAUGUGAAAUCCCCGGGCUCAACCUGGGAACUGCAUUCGAAACUGGCAGGCUAGAGUCUUGUAGAGGGGGGUAGAAUUCCAGGUGUAGCGGUGAAAUGCGUAGAGAUCUGGAGGAAUACCGGUGGCGAAGGCGGCCCCCUGGACAAAGACUGACGCUCAGGUGCGAAAGCGUGGGGAGCAAACAGGAUUAGAUACCCUGGUAGUCCACGCCGUAAACGAUGUCGAUUUGGAGGUUGUGCCCUUGAGGCGUGGCUUCCGGAGCUAACGCGUUAAAUCGACCGCCUGGGGAGUACGGCCGCAAGGUUAAAACUCAAAUGAAUUGACGGGGGCCCGCACAAGCGGUGGAGCAUGUGGUUUAAUUCGAUGCAACGCGAAGAACCUUACCUGGUCUUGACAUCCACAGAACUUAGCAGAGAUGCUUUGGUGCCUUCGGGAACUGUGAGACAGGUGCUGCAUGGCUGUCGUCAGCUCGUGUUGUGAAAUGUUGGGUUAAGUCCCGCAACGAGCGCAACCCUUAUCCUUUGUUGCCAGCGGUUAGGCCGGGAACUCAAAGGAGACUGCCAGUGAUAAACUGGAGGAAGGUGGGGAUGACGUCAAGUCAUCAUGGCCCUUACGACCAGGGCUACACACGUGCUACAAUGGCAUAUACAAAGAGAAGCGACCUCGCGAGAGCAAGCGGACCUCAUAAAGUAUGUCGUAGUCCGGAUUGGAGUCUGCAACUCGACUCCAUGAAGUCGGAAUCGCUAGUAAUCGUAGAUCAGAAUGCUACGGUGAAUACGUUCCCGGGCCUUGUACACACCGCCCGUCACACCAUGGGAGUGGGUUGCAAAAGAAGUAGGUAGCUUAACCUUCGGGAGGGCGCUUACCACUUUGUGAUUCAUGACUGGGGUGAAGUCGUAACAAGGUAACCGUAGGGGAACCUGCGGUUG
rnacentral:rRNA from 1 species